GAACCUGCGGAGGGAUCAUUACAGAGUUUUUAACUCCUAAAACCAUGUGAACUUACCACUGUUGCCUCGGUGGAAGGUACCCGAAAGGGUGCUGGAAGCCGGCGGACAUCUAAACUCUUGUUAAUUUUUGUUAUUCUGAAUCAAACUAAGAAAUAAGUUAAAACUUUCAACAACGGAUCUCUUGGUUCUGGCAUCGAUGAAGAACGCAGCGAAAUGCGAUAAGUAAUGUGAAUUGCAGAAUUCAGUGAAUCAUCGAAUCUUUGAACGCACAUUGCGCCCAUUAGUAUUCUAGUGGGCAUGCCUGUUCGAGCGUCAUUUCAACCCUUAAGCCUAGCUUAGUGUUGGGAGACUGCCUAAUACGCAGCUCCUCAAAACCAGUGGCAGAGUUUUUACGUACUCUGAGCGCAGUAAUUCUAUUCUCGCUUUUGAACACGUCUAGACGAUAGCCAAAAACCGCUUGCCUCGGCAGCACUUUUUAAUGGUUGACCUCGGAUCAGGUAGGAAUACCCGCUGAACUUAAGCAUAUCAAUAAGCCGGAGGAC
rnacentral:rRNA from 1 species